rnacentral:rRNA from 1 species
GCAGUUUGAUAUUGAGUGUUUGUACCACAUGUACAGGAUAGGUAGGAGCCGUAGAAGUCGGGACGCUAGUUUCGACAGAGGCGCUGGUGGGAUACUACCCUUGUGUUAUGACCACUCUAACCCGCACCACUAAUCGUGGUGGGAGACAGUGUCAGAUGGGCAGUUUGACUGGGGCGGUCGCCUCCUAAAGAGUAACGGAGGCGCCCAAAGGUUCCCUCAGAAUGGUUGGAAAUCAUUCGCAGAGUGUAAAGGCACAAGGGAGCUUGACUGCGAGACCUACAAGUCGAGCAGGGACGAAAGU